GUUAUUCUCCGAACAAAUGGGAGCUCUGGCAAAGUCCUUAAAAACAGUCUUUGACUUUUUGCCAUUUUCUUCUUUACACAACCUGGUGCUCUUAUCCGCUACCUGUUGGUGGUUAACCAAUUUCAAACGUGUGCUUUCCAAUAUGUGAUGUUGUUAUCCAGCUUCAUGGGUGCGCUCUUUAUUCCUGAAAUAUUGUACAGGCUAUGGUAGUUCUUUUUAGGAAAGUGUGGAGGUCUAGUGGAUAGGGGUCUCUAGAGUUUUUCGUACUACUCACCAGGGGUUGGGUGAGG
rnacentral:lncRNA from 1 species